rnacentral:tRNA from 2 species
CCGCCCAUAGCUCAAUUGGCAGAGCAAUUCGCUUUUAACGAAGAGGUUGUAGGUUCAAUUCCUACUGGGCGGACAA